GUUCUGAAACAGAGCAUUCUUAAUUAUCAAUUAUUACAUGUAAAUAAUUCUACAUCUUAGUACAUAAUUCCAUAAUAAUAAAAUUGAAAUUAGAAUGAUAACAAUUAAAUUAGAUUGAAAUAAAAGAAAUACUACUAUCAUACAUAUGUAAGUGCACACGUAUAAUUUAAAUUAUGAUUGCCGCCAAUCAUUUCUACAUUAUCGACGGAUGGAAAAUAUUAAUACUUUUGCGUUAUAUAUAAUGUCUAUGGUAAAACUAGUAUUUAUUUUUAACUCAUGUAUAUACAUAUUUAUUAAUUUUUACUACGAGACUCAAUAAUAUUAAUGAAAAACUGAUAUUAUUAAUAACGUUAAAAGCGUUACUACAUGUAAAAGUUAUUAACAAGUAUAAAACAAUUUGCAAACAUAUUACAAAACUACAGAAAAGCUAUCGUAACUUAUCAUUAUUAAACACACUUAUAACUGAAUAAUUGUAACAUACAACUUUCCAAGUAUAAUAACGAUAUUUAUAUGACAUAUAUAUUACUCAGGUUACAGCAACCUGAGUAAUAUAAUAUUUGAAAUCCGAGAAAAAUUUAUCCGAGUUAGUAACAUAUUUAUCGAAGUACAGUGUCUAAUUAUAUCAUAAACAAAUGACAAGUACAUAUCACAGAAAAGAUUUUAGUUUAUCAAAAUCUAGAACAUUAAAGAAUUUCGCUGUGAUUUUAAAACCCAUAUAUUUCAUUAUUAAUUAUUAUUCAUAAGUGGAAACUGUAAAAAGGAAAAAGAUAUUCGCUCUUUGGAAUUAAGUAAGUAAAUCUCUAUAUUUCUCUAUAUUACGAUAUUAGAUUAUAUGAAUAAAACAUAUGUCCAAAAAUUGUCUCUGAUUACUGAUUUUUUAUCUUUGUAGAUUCGGCAUAAUUAAUUUUUCAAGUACACAUGUCGAUGAUGUAAUUGCAGACGUGCGGAUUAUACCACAAAAUUGAAUGUAUAUUUAGACUCAUGUUGUGUUUCAAAUGUUAACAGGAAUAAAUAUAGUAGAUGUAACCGUGCUAAAUAUA